rnacentral:rRNA from 1 species
AACGAACGCUGGCGGCAGGCCUAACACAUGCAAGUCGAGCGAGCAUUUCGGUGCUAGCGGCGGACGGGUGAGUAACGCGUGGGAACGUGCCCUUUUCUGCGGAAUAGUCCUGGGAAACUGGGGGUAAUACCGCAUACGCCCUUUUGGGGAAAGAUUUAUCGGAGAAGGAUCGGCCCGCGUUGGAUUAGGUAGUUGGUGGGGUAAUGGCCCACCAAGCCGACGAUCCAUAGCUGGUUUGAGAGGAUGAUCAGCCACACUGGGACUGAGACACGGCCCAGACUCCUACGGGAGGCAGCAGUGGGGAAUCUUAGACAAUGGGGGCAACCCUGAUCUAGCCAUGCCGCGUGAGAGAUGAAGGCCUUAGGGUUGUAAAGCUCUUUCAGCUGGGAAGAUAAUGACGGUACCAGCAGAAGAAGCCCCGGCUAACUCCGUG